AACGAACGCUGGCGGCAGGCUUAACACAUGCAAGUCGAACGCCCCGCAAGGGGAGUGGCAGACGGGUGAGUAACGCGUGGGAACAUACCCUUUUCUACGGAAUAGCUCUGGGAAACUGGAAUUAAUACCGUAUACGCCCUACGGGGGAAAGAUUUAUCGGGGAAGGAUUGGCCCGCGCUGGAUUAGCUAGUUGGUGGGGUAAAGGCCUACCACGGCGACGAUCCAUCGCUGGUCUGAGAGGAUGAUCAGACACAUUGGGACUGAGACACGGCCCAAACUCCUACGGGAGGCAGCAGUGGGGGAUAUUGGACAAUGGGCGCAAGCAUGAUCCAGCCAUGCCGCGUGAGUGAUGAAGGCCUUAGGGUUGUAAAGCUCUUUCACCGAUGAAGAUAAUGACGGUAGUCGGAGAAGAAGCCCCGGCUAACUUCGUG
rnacentral:rRNA from 1 species